GAGUAACUACGGGAAACUGUAGCUAAUACCGCGUAAUAUCGAAAGAUUAAAGUGUGGGACCUUCGGGCCACAUGCCAUAAGAUGAGCCCAAGUGGGAUUAGGUAGUUGGUGGGGUAAAGGCCUACCAAGCCGACGAUCUCUAGCUGGUCUGAGAGGAUGACCAGCCACACUGGAACUGAGACACGGUCCAG
rnacentral:rRNA from 1 species